rnacentral:rRNA from 1 species
GAUGAACGCUAGCUACAGGCUUAACACAUGCAAGUCGCGGGGCAGCAUGGGGGUUGCUUGCAAUCCCCGAUGGCGACCGGCGCACGGGUGAGUAACGCGUAUCCAACCUGCCCUUCACCACGGGAUAACCCGGCGAAAGUCGGACUAAUACCGUAUGUUGUCCAUUGACGGCAUCCGAUUUGGACGAAAGGCUUGGCGGUGAGGGAUGGGGAUGCGUCCGAUUAGCCAGACGGCGGGGUAACGGCCCACCGUGGCUACGAUCGGUAGGGGUUCUGAGAGGAAGGUCCCCCACACUGGAACUGAGACACGGUCCAGACUCCUACGGGAGGCAGCAGUGAGGAAUAUUGGUCAAUGGGCGUAAGCCUGAACCAGCCAAGUAGCGUGCAGGAUGACGGCCCUACGGGUGGUAAACUGCUUUUAUGCGGGGAUAAAGUGGCCCACGUGUGGGCUUUUGCAGGUACCGCAUGAAUAAGGACCGGCUAAUUCCGUG